rnacentral:rRNA from 1 species
UACGGAGGGUGCAAGCGUUAUCCGGAUUCACUGGGUUUAAAGGGUGCGUAGGCGGGCAGGUAAGUCAGUGGUGAAAUCUCCGGGCUUAACCCGGAACUGCCGUUGAUACUAUCUGUCUUUGAAUAUCGUGGAGGUAAGCGGAAUAUGUCAUGUAGCGGUGAAAUGCUUAGAUAUGACAUAGAACACCGAUUGCGAAAGGCAGCUUACUACACGAUCAUUGACGCUGAGGCACGAAAGCGUGGGGAGCAAACAGG